rnacentral:lncRNA from 1 species
CGCCAAGGGCGCCUCGGUGACCAUGGCCUCAUACUCGCUGGGCGCGAUCAACUUGAGGAAAUAGGGCUCGGUGGCAUAAAGGCGCUCGACCCCGCGUUGGACGCUGCCGAGCAGGCGCCGCGUGCAGUCGCCGGCGUCGGCACCGUUGGGAAACUGCCGAAACGUAUCGCGAGGGCAAAAGCCGAAACCUGCUUGCGCGAGACGAUGCGCCCUGGCCAGAGCCUCGCGCAUCGAAACCGCGAGAUCGCUGCCGGUGCCGGCGUCAGCCCAGUGCGCUGGGACGGCGCCCUGGUCCAAUGGACCACUCUUGGGCGCGUCGACACGGCCAAGAGGACCGCCCUUUUCGCGCGCGUCAAUGAGCGCCGCAAGGGCGAUGCACAGGUUGCGCGUGCGCAUAAUCUCGAUGCCGGUCCAUGCGCACUCGCGCUGCGCGAGGCCAUCGACGACGCAAGCCAGCCACGUGUGCGCAAAGCACACCCUUUCUGAAAAACUGCACCAAAGCCAAAAGGAGGGUUGGCGUGCACUGAUGGCCAGCAAACCAGCGAGUUGGGCGUCGGUCAUGUGCUCGGCGUCAUCGAUGCUCCACACGCCAUCGUGGUACGUCAGUCUGACAGGGUCCUCUGUGGGCGGCGGGUCGGCAUAGCCGCGGCUGCGCAGGAAAGAGACCUGAUCGGCAGACAGCGUGCCACGGGCCCUUUUGACGAGGCAAUGCAACUUCCAGUGAUCAGGGCGCUUGCCAGGCCGCGUCUGGGGCAGCCUCGGCGCAAGCAAACCGAGGUUGUGCUCGAAUUCGAGGGCCAUCAGUCGGUCCAGGUCGACCGACUCGUCCCACCGCACACAGGCUAGGGCGGCGUCGACGAGCACCUCCUCGGGAUUCUCUUGCUGUUUUGCCAUCGGCAAGUCUUGCGCCGGUCGGUUGUCGGGCUUUGUAAUGUCUUUUACUUGCUCUUGUUCCAUAUCUG